ACAUGCAUUUGUCCUUUAAAUAUAAGUUUCAGUGUUACAUGGAGCAGGGAACUCAUCUGAGAAGACAUACGAACACAAGAGAGCACUGCAAAUUACGGAGAUGCUGCCUUCUGAGUGACUUCAUACUGCACUGUGCGAGCAGCAGGAGAGAGCUGCUCAGCCUCAGGAGCUGCACUGCGUGGAAACGGAGCAGAUGGACAGGUUGACAAGAGUGAGAAAGUUCUCUGGAAACCCCCAAGUCACACAGCCCUACCUGUGAACACGAGCUGGAAAGAAAACGUGGAUCACUUCAAGCCCAGCCUAGUGCACUGAGCAUCCUUAGAGAUAAUAAAUGGACACAUUACACGCUCCUCGUAAAAGGUCUGCAGAUAGUAAGUGAAUGAAGAAAGAUAAACAGCGUGAAGGAAAACGUAGGUAGAACUGAGAGUUAAAAAAGCAGAAGGAGAAAAGUAGCACUAUCAUACGAUGCCCUUCUGAAAGAUCCAGUCCAAGUGGUGAUAAAUGUUUUGCCCUCUAUAUCACACAUUUUCCAUAGAUCUGUAUGCGUUCAAAAUCUCUAAGUAACAAGAGCAACCUCUAGAAGUAGUUGGCUUUUUUUACUCCCUCAGGAUCAUCCACAUUUAAGGAAACAUUUUGUUUCCUUCUUAGGCGGAACGCAAUAUAUUACAAUCUUAUUCCUCUAUUAUUUCCCAUUAUUAGCGCAGGGAUCUACAAAGCAAUGUUGCUACCACAAUUGUUAUGUUUUUAGUUGCAUUUUGAGAGUAGCCAAGAGGCCUGGACACUAUAUAAAUACGUUUUUAUUACUCUAAUAGUAUUCCAUUUUAAUUAGAAGUGACGCUCCAAAACAACAGGAUUACGCUCCUCACAUGAACUAUAGUCAGUGAAUCCACCGGCCGGUCAGCCGAGGCAGUCAGUACUGUAUUUCCCGGUCUUGUGACACGGCAACUUCUCCCUCCUAAUAUGACAAAAUUAAUUCACACAAGCUGAUAACAAGGCUAUUACUGCACUGACAACGGUAAAAGGUGGCUCAAGUGGAACAGUCUGGCGUACUCCAGCAUUUCAGAGCGAAGGUCUAUCGAACUGAAACGACACACAGAAUCAAUUUCCUCAACUGCUUCUGCCUCUCCAAACGUGCCGCAUUACACCCCAGGACGCGCCUUAACGAAAGAGAGGCGAGCGACGCCACGGACAGCCUGCGAACGAACAUUAACGUAGCGCUCUCCCGCACGAGGACGCCGGCCAGCUACUGAAGACAGCUUUCCACAUCAACACUUUGGUGCUUGAGGACCGUCAGGACCGAGAUGGCUUACGUAGUCACCGCUAACUAGGAGGAAGCGGUAGGGACGGGGCGAAACGCGCAGCUUGCUGCACAAAUUGACGAAGCCUUACACAUCUUGGUGGUCGCUCACCCCUGAGCUCCUUUCACGCCCUCCGCCUGCUUAACUCCACUAGGCUGCUUUUUCUGAAGUCGGGCUUAUUAACUUCAAUAGUUGCGCCAGGCAAGGAGCAAGAAAACAGUCUUUAAUCAACUGGGCUACACUGGCUAUAUCGCAUAUAUUGUUCCUGAAGACAGGGAUGUUUAGUGAAAGUUUAAAAAAAAAAAUAGAACAAAGGAGACCUCAGGAGGAAUUAAAUGAAAUCAAAAGUAGCUCGGACACAGAACUGAUUGUUUUUUCCCCCUCCUUCCCCCCCCCCUUUUUUUUUCAAACAAAGAAUAAAGACUGAGAAUUUAGGAAAGUAACAGAAAAGGAAAUGUUCCUCUGAAAUCAAGAGAAACAGGCUAUGCUAGAAGCAAGGAAACACUUUUAAGCAUAAACAGCCAAAAUUGUCGCUAUGGCAUUAACAGUAUCGCUGUUUAAAGGAGGUGUUGUGAACGCUGCUGCGAGCCGGAGCCCUUCGUCCUAGCGCUCAGCCCGGCGAGCGCUAGCGCUACUCCAAGACGGCCGCUGCGCACGCGUUCAGGACUCACUACUUGGUUCCACGGCGGCUACUUGGUGUAGCCCGUAAGUAUAAACUUAGGUAUUUAGAUGAAUCAGAGAAUAAAAUGAUAAGCUUUAACUGGUAAAAGAACAACAUAGUUUAAACCCGAGGAUGAUUCUGGCAUCACGGAGCUCGGGAGCCUCAGCGUACACGAUCCUAGUCUUCUACAGACAGCUCUGAUUUGACUCUGCCUGUAGUCUCAGGUGUGAACUGGCUUUCAACUGCAAACGUGUAGCUGUGCUAGGGGUCACGGUGCCAAGCUGCCAAGCCGGGCCGAGAGGCUGAGCUUACGCUAAUAUGGCUACAGGGCUUUUGCAGCGCAGCUGGCUCAUGCGCCAUGGGUUUGCCUGCAAGAGGCCAGGUACGAGCUAAGUCUCCUCACCUGAGGAACCAGCAUCCCCACACGUCUCUGUCACCAGGCAGCAGAGGAGUGCAAUGGGUUUGCACGACCACCUGAAUUACGGUUCCAAAUAACCAUCUAGAGGCUUGGGGGACCCCCCAGAAGCUGCACGUUUCUGCAGGUAGCAAUAGGCACUGUAAUGUCUCCUGGGAGAAACCUGCCUCCAAAAUGCUCUCUGCACAAGCCAGAUUAUAAAUGCAAGAAUAUCACAGUACAUGUAGGUAAAUUCCGGAGAGGUACUUGGAGGUUGGACUAGAUGAUCUGCAGAGGUCCCUUCCAACCUAAA